AUAAAAUUGAAGCAAGGAGAGUAACGUGUGAGUUUCGGCUCUCAAGGAUUGAAGAUUCCACUGCUAGCUCCCUUCCCUCCCCAAAGGACUGAGAUAAGAUGGAGUGACCCAGAUUCAGAGGAGGAAAUAUUUUAUUGGAGCAGCCAGUGAUGCAAUUUUGAUUCAUUGACACAUACUCUGAAGCAACAGAUGGCUUUGCUGCUGGUGAGCCUGAAAGUAUUUCUUGGAAUAACAAGUCCCAGCUGAGUGAGACCCUGCACAUAAUCCCUUGCUCUUGAGGAAAACUUUUGCUGGAUCAAGAAAGCGAGAAGAGGAGAAAGGAAGAAAGGAAUCAAGUCACAAUCCAACAUCUUGCCAUCCAAUCCAAGUUCUCUGACUUUUCCACCAAGUUUACUCCUCCCUUUUUCUGAAUCACAGCAACUACUGAAUGCCUCUUUGAUGAGCAUCACCAGACAACCUUUCUGACUCAUGUCUUAUCACCCUGCAACUGAGAUUGUGAGAAGAAGGAAAGGCUAACUAGGUUUCUAUUGCCAGCAUUUCUGUGUUGAAGUAGACUGAGAGAAAUGAGUGUUAAGCAAAGCUUUUGACAGGCCUGCCAGAGUCAGCAUGCUGGGUUCCAACAGGCUGAUGCCA
rnacentral:lncRNA from 1 species